AUCCCUCUAUGCUGUAGUGCCGCACCACCUCGCGGAUGAGGGUGACAAGCUCCGGCGCGGCGGCAGACGCAUUGAGCCCCAUCCCUCUUGUUUUUUUGUGAGAUAUCCCUCUUGUAUUAUAUGUAAUUCAUUUGUGUCUACACUGUGUAAUCCGUUCGUGGGUAAUCUGUUUGUCCCAUGAAAUGAAACAAUUUUGUAUUUUGAAAUUCAUUCAUGGAGUCUUGGAACAGAAAGUGUUGAUGCAUACUGUGAUUUUUGUCGUGGUCCGUUUGUUUCUUUUUUUAAUAUAUAAAAACUUCUUUGUCGUCUCUGAUUUUUGAGGCAAGCGGCAAAAGGAAGAUUCUAGCUGACGGCAAAGAUGCUUUUCUUUGUCGUCUGUGAUAUAGGAGGAUGACAGCGAAGGUAGUUUGGCUGACGGCAAAAUCUUUGCUGUCAGGCUAACAAAAAGCUGACGGCAAAGUAGCCUUUGCCGACUUUCUCUUUGCCGUCUAUGUUUGCCGUCAGCCAGCUGACGGCAAACUCUUUGCCGUCUGUAUUACGGUCUUUGCCGUCUGUACUCGCCAGACGGCAAACUAGUUGAUUCCUGUAGUGUUGUCCGGGUUCAGCCUGGCCAGGUUCUCCUUGUCUGGGUUCACCCUGGCCGGGUUCUGCCUAUCCGGGUUGAGUCCUGUCCGGGUUGAGCCGUCCGGGUAGAAUCUGGCCAAGUCAACAAAGACGUCCCGUCGGACCUUCGCAGACAUGACGGAGUAGAGCACUGUAGAUGAGCAGCCAACACUGUUCCUGCCUCAUGUGACACUUCACUGCGCUCCAAUAGUGGUGCACUGUAGCCUGCAUCAUCAUAUGACAUCUCAAUAGUGUAGUGGGUGUGUGGGCCACCCCUUGUCCCUGGGCACUAGUAUAUAAAGUACCCAGGGGAGGCCUCACACACAGCCUCACUUGGCCACAAGGAGACACACAUGCUCACAUCUCUCUCGCUCUCACGCCACACACUCACACAUGAGGCAGGGAAGAGGAGCGCUCCUAGCCUCCUUCCUCCUCCUCUGGGUACAGCUCCAGGAGCAACUCUGUACUGCUACGUAUACAGGGGUAUUAUCUCUCCGGAGAGCUCUGAACCUGGGUAAAUCACCGUGUGCUGCUUGCCCAAUCUCGUCCCCUGAUCUCCACAGCAGUCUUGCCCUCACAUCAAGCCACCCCAUGGCAUCUGUCGUCUCGCGAACCCGCCCGUGAGAUAACCACGACAACUUCAAGCACUGCCUCCCUCCUAUAUUGUACAUUUUGGUGUGUUUUCUCUUUAUGACUUGUGUUCUUUUCUUGUUACCUGAAGUACAUGUAUAUACAUCAAUACACAUUUUUGUGUAUGGUUCGUGUGUCAAUCUAGGUCAUGUAGUGUUUUUUGUUCAUUUUCUCAUCAAAUUUAUACACACACGUGUUAUAACCCGUCCACAGUUGCAUACAUUAUGCAUACCAUGCAAUUUCAGUGAGUACAACGAGACUGAAAAUGGAGUGAAAUGUCACCCGAUUGCAUAACCAUCCCUUAACAUGCAACUGCACAUGACACAUAUACCCCACAACUGCAAGUGUUGCCCGUGACUACAACUGCAUGCCUUGAACGCGACUGUAACUAGGAUUGUUGGGUGUGAGGUUUGUAGAAACUAGAUGAUAUCCCGCGCGUUGCGGUGAGAAUUUAUAACAUUAUAUAGGAUGAUAAUACAGAGUAAGAAAUGGUAAAACCAUUAAAGGAAUAUAUAAAUAUAUGUUUAUUUCAACCUUUUAUAGAAUGAUAUGAAAAUUCGAAAAAAUUAGAAAAGGUGAAAAUGCAUUGUUAAUGUCUUGUAGACAUCUACAUGGCCGUAUCAAAAUCCCCACAUAGCUCCUCAUCAUUCCUGGCACUCUGGAAACAUGAGAAGCAGAAGGAAGACACAGAAUUCAUUAGUCUUCGUAUCCUUCAAAUCUGUCUGAAUUUAUGCAUUCUCAAACCCACAUCAGUUCUGAAGUGUCAGGAAUUUAACUAUUUAGUACGUAUUUAGCUGCUAUAUUCUCAUUUGAAAGGUAAAUAAGUCUCCCAUCAUUUAUCCGUCAAUGAGAUAAAUGCAAUUUGGGACAGAGUAUUUCCUGGACAAAGUUGUCAUUUGUUGUGUAUAAAUGGUAGCAGAAAAAAAACUGCAAUAGAUGUAUGUGUAUAUAGUCAUGGAUGAACAAACACCAACCUAAUGUUGGAGAGAUGGGAUCAUGGGAGCGAUGCCGCUCCAUUGUUUAAAGGGCAAUUUAGCGGGGCCGGGGGAAGUCAUAGGACGGCCGGCGGCGUCUUCACUUCCGUGCAGCAGGGUGGUGUUGGAGGUCGUCCUUGAGGAGGUGGAUUCAUCACACGUUGAGGUGGCCGUGGUCGGGCGCGUCGAUGCUGCAGCUUACGUUGACAUCCUGAUGCGUGUUAUGCUCCUCUCGGAGACGGAUCUGGCCGGGGGACUGGAGCCGUGGAGGGCAAUGGGCUGCGCCGCCUAACGACGACCACUGGAGGUGAAACUCAAUCCUUAUCAGUCCGAGGUGGCGGCUGUCCUAAACGGCAGCGAACGAUGAGGACAACAUCGCACAAUUCCAUCGAUCUUAUUUGGCGAUGGAUUGUGAGUACAACCUCGGUAGAUGGCUACUACAGAAACAUGCAGAGCUUCGUGGCGAGGGAGAUCAAGCAAAUGGGCAAGAUAAUGUGUACGGGGAAGAUGGGGAGGUGGAGAGCAUGGGAGAGCGAGGCCCAUCGGUUUGACUUUCGAUGUACCCUCAAUUCUUUGGAAACAAAUAUGAGGACAGCCUCCUUGUGUAUAGAAGACGAAGAGCAAACGACCCCAGGAUUGUUGCGUAGCACUAACUAAUAAUUAUAUUACAUGAUUUUUUGAUUUUUUUCUGAGUUGACAUGUGUGGCGCAUAUGUGGUGAGGUGGAUAGGCUUCAUGUCAAGAGAUAUAGGAUAGUGGAGAUGAACUAUUUAGGUAUUAUAGAUGACAUUUUCUUAGAGGUGGACAAUUACAUGUCCGCCCGUCACUAAAGACGUAACUGCAAGUGCUGGCCCCGACUAAAAUAACACAUGCAUCAACACCACUCCAAGUGAGAUUGUUGGGUGUAGAGUUGCAUGUACACCCAACUUGCUGAACUGAUUCAAAUUGCAUGUUCGUCCUAGACAUGCAACUUGCCCGACCUCAACCCGGCUGCAUGUCCACCCUCGACAUGCAACUCACCCAACUAAGUUGAUUGUCUACCCUCGACGCGCAACCUACCCUCGAUAUCUACUUAGUUGCAUGUUCAUAUUUUGACAUGCAACUCAUGCAACCUAGUUGCAUGUCUACUCUCGACACACAACUUGCCCGGCCUCAACCCACUCUCCCCACCCAGUUGCAUGUCCACCCUCGACAUGCAUGUCUGACCCGGACCCAAUUGCAUGUCCAUCCUCCAUAUGCUACUAACCCAACUCAGUUCUUUUCCCAUCCUCGGCACACAAUUUGCCACAACACGUAUCUAGUUGCAUGUCCACCCUCAACUCACAACUUUUGGUCAUACCUGGCAUACUCACAUAUCCACCCAUGGCAUACAAUUCACCUGACCAAAUUGCACGUCCACCCUUGAUACACAAUUUGCUGAUCCCGACCUACUCGCCCAACCCAGUUGCAUGUUCACCCUCGGCACACAACUUGCCUACCCCCGACCAAGUUGCAUGUCAACCACUAAACACGCAACUACAAGUGUUCACAUACUAUAAUUGCAUGUCUUCAACGUGACUGCAAUGGGUGAAAAUUGUGGAAGCGAAGUUUGUCAGGGGAGGCCAUUAGCAUGCCCGCCAUUAGACACACAACCACAAGUGUCUCACCCGAAUGCAACUACAACCAGGGGGAGUGGAGGUUGCCGAAGUGGCGUUGUCGGGGGAGAGGGGGGUUGUUGCAUGUACGUCACUGGGCACGUGAUUGCAAGUGUCUCCACCAAACUGCAACUACAUUCUUCAAGGCAACCGCAAUUGGGAUAACAACGUGAUAGUUUGCUCUAAAUGUGGACGCGUGAUUCAGGGUACCGUGGCGUGUGUGCGCUCCUGCGCUCGGGGUUUAGAGCAUCUCCAAUAGAUGAUGUAAAAUAGGACAAGACUAUCUUUUACAUCACAGGAUUUCAAAAAUCAUGCUCCAAUAAUGUUGGGGAACGUAGUAUUUCAAAAAAAAUCCUACGAUCACGCAAGAUCUAUCUAGGGAUGCAUAGCAACGACAGGGGAGACUGUGUCUACGUACCCUCAUAGAUCGAAAGCGGAAGCGUUAAGUAACGCGGUUGAUGUAGUCGAACGUCUUUGCGAUCCAACCGAUCAAGUACCGAACGCACGACACCUUCGCGAUAUGCACAUGUUCAACUCGGUGAUGUCCCUCGAACUCUAGAUCCAGCUAAGGUUGAGGGAGAGUUUCGCCAGCACGACGGCGUGUUGACGGUGAUGAUGAAGUUACCGACGCAGGGCUUCACCUAAGCACUACGACAAUAUGACUGAGGUGGAAAUCUGUGGAGGGGGGCACCGCACACGUCUAAGAGAUUAACUUGUGUGUCUAUAGGGUGCCCCCUCCCCCCUAUAUAAAGGAGUGGAGGAGGGGAGGGCCGGCCUCCUAUGGCGCUCCCCAAGGAGGGUGUCGGUGUCAAAACCGGCGGAUCUCGGGUAGGGGGUCUCGAACUGUGCGUCUAGGCCGGAUGGUAACAGGAGACAGGGGACACUUUGUUUUACCCAGGUUCGGGCCCUCUCGAUGGAGGGAAUACCCUACUCCUGCUUGAUUAAUAUUGAUGAUAUGGGUAGUACAAGAGUAGAUCUACCACGAGAUCAAGGAGGCUAAACCCUAGAAGCUAGCCUAUGGUAUGAUUGUUGUGUAUGGAGUUGAUUGCCUACGGACUACAACCCUCCGGUUUAUAUAGACACCGGAUAGGGUUAGGGUUACACAGAGUCGGUUAUAAUGGUAGGAGAUAUUGAAUAUUUGCAUCGCCAAGCUUGCCUUCCACGCCAAGGAAAGUCCCAUCCGGACACGGGACGGAGUCUUCAAUCUUGUAUCUUCAUAGUCCAGGAGUCCGGCCGAAGGUAUAGUCCGGCUACCCGAACACCCCCUAAUCCAGGACUCCCUCAGUAGCCCCUGAACCAGGCUUCAAUGACGACGAGUCCGGCGCGCAAAUUGUCUUCGACAUUGCAAGGCGGGUUCCUCCUCCAAAUCCUUCAUAGAAGAUUGUAAACACCAAGAGUAGUGUCCGGUUCUGCAAAAUAAGUUUCCACAUAUUGCCAUAGAGAGAAUAAUAUUAACACAAGUCAAAUCUGCUGACGUAUUCUGUAGUGCGCCAUCACACUACAGCCAAGUCCUUUACUCGAAUCGUUUUUAAUUUUCCACCUCAGCAUGUUUUGCGAGGCGGUUUCCUUGGCACGUCUUGUCAAAGCAGAGAUCGUGUCCCCUUUACUCACGGGAUUCUCAUCAAUACGGACCUGGGUAACCCAAUCGUGCCUGUUAGCAUGUUUUCUCGAUUAAAGGCGAGUCCCAAACGGUUACGGGGAGGGCUCCUGGUAUUCAACCUCUUAUAAAGAGACCAAGGCCUUACUCCUUUUUCCAAUCUCAAACGAGUUCGCCCAUCGCCUCGAGUUCCAACACCCUAGGCUUCGGAUUCCAGGCGCUUCGGACCUUCGACAAUGUCCGGUUCCGACCUUCAAGGCUGAUGGAUGCCCUCCUCUGUCACGGAGGAGGAUGUGCUAAAGUUGAGAGAGGCUAAGUUCUUGACCGCCGAAAUUCCGCAUAGGUUGCCUGCUCAAGGGCAGGCUAUUCCCAAUCCCCAGCCCGAUGAGAGCGUGGUGUUCAUGUCUCACUUCCUUCGGGGGUUAGGCUUCCUGAUGGAUCCCUUCGUGAGGGGGCUGCUGUUUUAUUACGGGCUGGAAUUUCAUGACUUAGCCCCGGAGUCCAUCCUCCACAUUUCCUCAUUCAUCGUUGUGUGCGAAGCGUUCCUCCGCGUUACUCCUCACUUCGGAUUGUGGCUCAAGACUUUUGGAGUGGAGCCGAAGAUGAUCGAGGGACGGCACGCAGAGUGCGGAGGUGCCGUCAUAAAUAAGAAUGUCGAUGCUCCAUGGCCCGAGGGCUCCUUCCAAGAGGAGCUCGGCAUGUGGCAACGAGAAUGGUUCUAUAUCACCGCUCCCAGGAGCGCCAAGUGGGCGGCGCCUCCUGCCUUUCGCUCGGGUCCCCCAUCACAGCUAGCGUCAUGGGUCAACAAAGGAUUAGAUUGGGGUUUGCCCAAAGACGUGCCCCUGUUACAGGGCCGAAUUAAGGAUCUCUUGGAAGGAGACCUUAGUUUGGUCAAGGUGACGCAGGUCAUGCUGAUUCACCGAAUAUUGCCCGGCAAACGUCGCCCCCUUUGCCUGUGGGAGUUUAAUCCGGAGGGACCGCGAACUCUCCAGAAUUUUAUGGGCGCAACGCCCGCGGAGAUGUAUAGAAUGUUCUUCGGAUCACAAGAAACGUGUCCGGAUUUAACCGAGGACGCAGGCCUGAGCUGCCAUCGCCCGGAUACUCAAGUAAGCAACCCUGUGCCCAGACCUUCUAUCCGUAUAAUUGUCAUAAACUUGCCCCUAAAAGAGCCGUCCUUUUAAACAGGAAUGGAUAGCGAAGGCGAAGCUGAUCAGGUGUCCGGCUCCCCUUCCUGAAACCAGGCCGGAUCCCGUGUUGGUCAGGAUGCUGGAGAUAAUGCCUUUGGAGGGGGAGGACAAGGAAGCUAUGGCCUCCUCGAAGGAGACUGCUCCGAAGGGAGGAACCGACAGUUCCUCUCCUAAGGGGAAGAAGAGAGCCGCCUUUGACGACCCGGAAACCAUGGCCUCAAAACGGGGGAGAAAAUCCUCGUCAGAGGGUCCGACGCCAGGGAGUUCCUUGGCCGGACUACGCCCUCAAGGGGAUCAGCCCUCCAGCGAGCCGUAAGUGGAGAAAAGAUUUUCCUUUUGAGGGAUGAGAUAAAUCCUUGAUUUUAUAUCUGAGAAGAUUAACCGAAAUUUUACCUUGUAGAUCGGACCUCAGCCCUUCGCAGCAGAGCUCGUCUUCGGGGGAUCUUCUUCCGGAAAUGAUGGAGAGCGGAACGCCUCCCCCCUGCCGUGCCGCCCAGCGAGGCGGGCGACCCUGAGGUGUCGUCGUGGAGGGUUUCUCCGAAUCCGGCAGGGGCGGAAGAUAGCUAUGUGGCCCCCCGAGGCUCUCCGCGCCCGGCCUUCGAAAGAGGCCAUAGGACAAGUCCGGCACCGUCUGGUGCUCGGCCGGAGGAACUAAAGAUUCUGCUGGGGCGAGCUUCUAUCUCAGAAGAGCACCGUGCAUUGAUGGGCACGGUGAUUGAAAGGAUUUCAUUCGCAGAAAGCGGAUUGCAUGAGGUCGUCAAAAGUUUACUGACGGGUUUUGAGGUACGUUAGAUAAUGUACACUUUUGUUAGUUGCGCAUAAAUAAGAUGCGCCCUGUGUAGAUAGUAGCCCCUGAGACUCUACGCGGUGUCAAUAAAUGAUGGCGCGCAGAGGAUCAUAAUCCCAGGUCUAAGAUGUCGCCAUUGAAUGUAGGUGGUGAGGUGUCCGAAAUCAAGCCGAACUGAUGAUGUGGCCGAACUAAAGCGACAACUGGACGUGGCAGAUGCCGACAUCGCGCUUGUCAACAAGCGGCUUGAUGAGGCUCAAGGUGUGUAAUUCUUCGGGCAGCAUUAGGUAAGAGGAGCUUCAUGCCAGUGUCUUACAAUGUGUGUGCUUGACGCAGAUGGUACGGCCGCCGUGGAGAAUAUUAGGGUAGAACGUGCCCGAGCUAAGGAGCAAGCCGGAAAAAGCAAUGCGGCUGCCAAGAAGGCCCUUGAAGAGUUGAGAGCCGAACAGGCUGCUCACUGCCGAAGCAAAGAAGAGAUGGCUGAGAUGGCCGAGAAGUUAAAGAGCGCUGCAGACCGUUGCAAACUUCUUGAGAAAGAAGACCGGGCGAGAAAGACGGAUUUAGAGACGGCCGUUGCCGAUGCCAAGGAUGCUCGCUCUGCGAUGAGAGCUGCGAAAGAGGAGCUGCGUCAGGCCGAACAGAUUGCGGCUGGAAAGCCCUUUAUGUUGCGGAGGAAGGUUUGUGAUCCGAAGUUUGCUCCGUUGGACCGGAUGUGGAGUGUGGAGGACACCUAUCUGGAUUUGGCAGCAAGCGCUGCUGAUGCGACCGAACACUUUCGAGAUCUGGAAGAUCGCGAAGUGGAAAAGCUUUUCUGGUCACAGUUUCAUAAUCCAGAGCGUCCACUAGCAGUGGACGAUCGCCUGGCUCAAUGGGCCGAGCUGAAUAGAUUGUCCGGACUCGCCAUGAAGUACGUCAUGGGUCAUCUGUGGCCUGGGAGACCGGAGCCGAAGAGUUAUUUCAGUUAGGUGCAGCAAUUCCUUGACGCGGUGCCGCGUAUAAAUGCAAUGAAGACGUCAGCAUGCGUAGAGGGCGCAAGGAUGGCUCUUGCCCGUGUUAAGACAUACUGGGCAGAGAUGCAGACCACCGUUGUUGCGUCCCGAGAUUCGGACAAGAGCCGAGUACCUUCCGAGCACUAUUUUCAGGAAGUCCUUGAAGGCGCUCGUGUAAUAGAGAUGCAGUGCUCGAAAGAUGCUAUGUUAUGAUAGCAUAUGUAAUUGAAAAGUAGUAUUUUGAUAAACUGUAGUGGCCUUUUUUAUACUUGUGCCUUCAAGUAUUGUGAACACCUUCUAUGCGGCUGUUUUAAGAUAUAUANNNNNNNNNNNNNNNNNNNNNNNNNNNNNNNNNNNNNNNNNNNNNNNNNNNNNNNNNNNNNNNNNNNNNNNNNNNNNNNNNNNNNNNNNNNNNNNNNNNNNNNNNNNNNNNNNNNNNNNNNNNNNNNNNNNNNNNNNNNNNNNNNNNNNNNNNNNNNNNNNNNNNNNNNNNNNNNNNNNNNNNNNNNNNNNNNNNNNNNNNNNNNNNNNNNNNNNNNNNNNNNNNNNNNNNNNNNNNNNNNNNNNNNNNNNNNNNNNNNNNNNNNNNNNNNNNNNNNNNNNNNNNNNNNNNNNNNNNNNNNNNNNNNNNNNNNNNNNNNNNNNNNNNNNNNNNNNNNNNNNNNNNNNNNNNNNNNNNNNNNNNNNNNNNNNNNNNNNNNNNNNNNNNNNNNNNNNNNNNNNNUACAGAAUCUGAAAGAUGGCAGUCGUUGGCUUCAGCCCCCACGCACAUAGUGCGGGGGUGCUCGCAGAAGACGCAUUUUCACACUUAACCCAACGUCUUGGUCCUACAAAGGAGGUGAUAGCGUAGCGGGCCAGGCAACCGGACUAUAAGGCUUUAACACUUUCACUUAGCCAUAGGUGUUUGACAAUGAGACUCUUUAAGUAGCUCCUUGGUGGCAACUGCGCUCGUCCGAAUUCGGGGCGUGUGUGCCUGACCGGGAAGCGGCCCUUCGUUAAAGCGGAGGAAUCUGAUAGAUUCUGAUAGGUCAUCGAGUGGCUGACCAGUCUCAUGCUGCAUCAUGACAGUCAGUUUUCGGCUUUCUCUACUGAGGUGCUCGCCCUGGCCGAACCGGGGGCACAAUCGCAGUAGUUCUCCUGGUGCUACCUUAGCCGAUAGAGCGGAACGUAAGGUAGCCGAACUCAGGAGCCGGGCAACCAACAUUUUACCAAAGACAUGAUUCGGAGCUGAUGCAUAUAAUGCCAAAACUCGCGACGCCGAACACUCCCUAAGGUGUUCGGUCUUUAUGAGUGCGGGCGAAACGACACUCUUUAUUAAAAAAGCCCCUAGUGUCCAGGUACGCGCAAAAAUUCUGACGUGGCCACAUCCCAAGACGCCAGCCUCCUCCUUGGUUAUAUUAGAAAGAAAAAACCAGGGGAUGUGUAGCAACAAGAGACAGUAAAAAAGGUUUACGCAGGGUCUUAAUCUAAAAAGAAUCCUUUAGGACGGGUCCCUACUGCACGUCUGCGCCUGUGUCUCCGUUGUGCCGUAUCCUGGACGGGCACCGCACGACGUUCAUCUAUAAAAGAGAGGAACUGAGUUGAAAAUGGGUCAUGCCGAAAAAAGUUUCAAAUAAACAGAGUAUAAAGUAAGAUGUAUGAGAUUGAGCUUUAUUGUCUCUUAUUGUAUAUGCAUAGAGCCCCUAGUGGGGGUAUAUGGCUUCUAGUCCUGCAUCAAUGAUGAUUUUGCACCGAACUCGUCUAUCCGCGUUCGUGGUCUUGAAUGACCUAUUUUGAAGUUUAUUGGCCGGUGAGGCCAUUUUGCUGUGGGGCUAUUAAAGCGGCCGCACAGUCCUCGGCAUGGGGAGGCGCACUUUAGUGCUUCCUCUUCAAAGAGAUGAUGCCUCGUGGACCGGGCAUCUUGAGCGUAAGAGAUGCAUAAUGCGGUAUUGCGUUAAAGCGAGCAAAAGCUUCGCGCCCCAGUAGUGCUUGAUAGCAACUUGAGAACGGGACGAUAUGGAAGGUCAGCUUUUCGCGGCGGAGGUUAUCGGCAGAGCCUAGUGUGACUGUGAGCCGGAGAAAACCCGCACAAUGGGUGUCCGGACCAGGUAUGACCCCUUGAAAGGAGGUUCUGCUGCGGUGGAUUCUUGCUGGGUUUAUCCCCAUGUGUUGGAUUGUAUCCUGAUAUAUCAGGUUUAGUCCACUGCCGCCGUCCAUAAGACAUUUGGAAACUGGAGUCCGCCAAUUAUUGGAUCGAGUAUCAAGGCAGUCCAUCCUGCAUUCUUGAUAUUCCUAGAAUAAUCUAGCUGAUCGAAGAUGAUCGGUUUUGACAACCAGUGGCGGGACCCUUUGGGGAUGGGCCGUGUGGUGCGUACCUUUACGGGCGCCGCACGUUUUGUUAUGUGAAGUGAGUUCACUGUUUUUACUUCUUGUGGGAAGUUCUUUUGUUUCCUGGUGCUCUGCUUGCGGGGUUUGUCCUUGUCUUCGCUUGGUGUGUCGAGCCCCUUGUGUUCGGCAUUGAGUCUGCCGGAUUGUUUGAAAACCCAACAAUCUCUGUGGGUAUGGUUAGCAGGCUUCCGGGGAGUACUGUGUAUCUGACAUAUCCUGUCCAGGAUUUUAUUUAGGUUGGAUGGAUCGUCCCUGUUAUCCUGGGGGGCGAUUUUUCCUGAUUUUGUCAUGAGCCUUUGAAUCCGGCAUUGACUGAUGUACUCUUCAGAUUUUUGUCCUUAGUCUAGCGAUGGUCCUUGUUGCGUCGCGGUUUUCCAUUUCCAUCCCUAGUUUCGGAUGUACUUGGGUUGCUGGGGCUGCACCUUGCCAACCAGCUGUCCUCCCCUGCACAAAAGCGGGUCAUGAGGCUUGUUAGUGCGGCCAUUGUUCUUGGCUUUUCUUGGCCGAGGUGUCUAGCGAGCCAUUCGUCUCGGACAUUAUGCCUGAAAGCUGCUAAGGCUUCGGCGUCCGGACAAUCGACUAUAUGAUUCUUUUUAGUGAGGAAUCUAUUCCAGAACUGUCGAGCUGAUUCUCCGGGUUGUUGAGUUAUGUGACUAAGAUCGUCUGCAUCCGGGGGACGGACAUAGGUCCCUUGAAAGUUUGCUCGGAAAGCAUCCUCGAGCUCUUCCUAGCUUCCAAUUGUGUUUUCUGGAAGGCUUUUAAGCCAAUGCCGGGCUGGCCCUUUAAGCUUAAGGGGUAGAUAUUUUAUGGCGUGGAGAUCAUCUCCUCUAGCCAUGUGUAUGUGGAGGAUAUAAUCCUUGAUCCAGACUCCAGGGUCUGUUGUUCCAUCAUAUGCCUCUAUGUUUACGGGUUUGAAUCCCUUUGGGAAUUCAUGGUCCAGGACCUCAGCGGUGAAACAUAGGGGGUGUGCAGCGCCCCUGUAUUUGGGUGUGCCGGAUUCUGAUGAUGGCUUCGUAGCAUUGCUUAUGAGAGCUUGCUUUCUUGGCCCAUAAAUGGACCUGACUGGGCCAUGAUGCAAAUCCUUAAGAGGGUCGCAUGCCGAUUUAGGUGCGGCGCCGCUUGCCACUUUAUGGGGUCGUCUAUCCGACCGUGUGGCUUUUUCAUUUUUUGAAUGUGAGGGCUCUAGGGCCUCUUCGUCGAAUUCAGGCAGUAGCUUUCUUUUAGGAUAGCUUUUAGUGCGGCGACUGUCGCCGUACUUAUCUGUGGUAUUGAUUACUUUGCUCCAUCUAAUCCGGAGUGCGUCUUCCGCUAUUUUCAGCUUCUACUUCUGCUUUUUUAGGCUGCGUGCGGUUGCAACGAGCCUCUCGUGGAGAUUCUUCUGCUCCGUAGGUUUAUUCGGCGUGAGGUUGUCUAGAAUGUCGUUUUCGCCGGAGGAGGGAUGUUCGGUUUCUCUAUCCGUGUUUCCCUGUUCGGACAGUUGCUCUAAGGCCUGCUCGUCGUCUACCGGCUCGUCCUGCUCUAUGGCUGGGUUUUUGUCGAGGCGGGGCUUGGGUCGGCGUUUACGCCGACGCUUUGAUUGCUUUUCGGGGGGGUCGAUCUCCCGUCCCAUCCCCUUUUUCCUCGUUGUCGCUUCCUUUAGGGGUAUCCACCAUGUACACAUCGUGGGAUGAGGUGGUUGUCCAAUGCCCCAUGGGCGUUGGUUCGUCGGUAUCUCCUGCAUCGUCAUCCAUGCUGUCGAUGUCUCCGGAGUCGAAGUUGAGCACGUCGUUUAAAUUGUCGACAGUGGCUACCAAGUGGGUGGUGGGUGGGCUUUGAAUUUCUUCGUCGUCCGUAUCCCAUCCUCGCUGACCGUAAUCCGGCCAGGGCUCUCCUGAUAAAGAGAGAGACUUUAGAGAAUUCAGGAUGUCGCCGAAGCGCGAGUGCUGAAAGAUGUCCGCGGAGGUGAACUCCAUGAUCGGCGCCCAACCGAAUUCGAUCGGCAGGGGUGUGGGAGGCUCGGAGUUCGGAGAGGAAUCCGGCUCCUCGGAGCCACGGGCCAUGCGGAGUGCGGGGCUGGAGUUCGGCUCAAUCGCCUCUGAGAUCGUAGCCCCUGAGGCAGCGUCUAACCGCUGAUCCUCGAUCGGUGCAGUAGGCUCCGAAUCAAUGGUCGGAACCGAUGCGUGUGCAGCCUCCAAGGCGUUGUUCGGUGGCAGAGCUAUGUCAUGCCCAUCGAGACAGUGCGGCGCGCUUGGCUGUGGCUCGAAUCCAUUGAAGAUCAAGUCUCCGCGGAUGUCAGCCGUAUAGUUUAGGCUUCCAAACCUGACUUGAUGGCCAGGGGCGUAGCUUUCGAUCUGCUCGAGGUGGCCAAGCGGAUUGGCCCGCAGUGCGAAGCCGCCGAAGAUGAAGAUCUGUCCGGGGAGAAAAAUCUUACCCUACACCGCAUCGUCGUUGAUGAUCAAAGGAGCCAUCGGACGUAAAGGCGACGACACAGAGGAACUCUCAAUGAAAGCACCAAUGUCGGUGUCAAAACCGGCGGAUCUCGGGUAGGGGGUCCCGAACUGUGCGUCUAGGCCGGAUGGUAACAGGAGACAGGGGACACUUUGUUUUACCCAGGUUCGGGCCCUCUCGAUGGAGGGAAUACCCUACUCCUGCUUGAUUAAUAUUGAUGAUAUGGGUAGUACAAGAGUAGAUCUACCCCGAGAUCAAGGAGGCUAAACCCUAGAAGCUAGCCUAUGGUAUGAUUGUUGUGUAUGGAGUUGAUUGUCUACGGACUACAACCCUCUGGUUUAUAUAGACACCGGAUAGGGUUAGGGUUACACAGAUUCGGUUAUAAUGGUAGGAGAUCUUGAAUAUCCGCAUCGCCAAGCUUGCCUUCCACACCAAGGAAAGUCCCAUCCGGACACGGGACGAAGUCUUCAAUCUUGUAUCUUCAUAGUCCAGGAGUCCGGCCGAAGGUAUAGUCCGGCUACCCGAACACCCCCUAAUCCAGGACUCCCUCAAAGGGAUUCCUACUCCUAGUAGGAGUAGGUUUCCCCCUUUCCCUAGUUGCAGUAGGAGAAGAAGGAAGAGGGAGAGGGAGAGAAGGAAAGGGGGGCCGGCCCCCCUCCCAAUUCGGAUUGGGCUUGGAGGGCGCACGCCUCCCACUUGGACGCCUCCUCCUCUCUCCCACCACGGCCCAUUAAGGCCCAUUAACUCCCCGGGGGGUUCCGGUAACCUCCCGGUACUCCGGAAAAUGCCCGAACCUAUCCGAAACCUUUCCGGUGUCCAAACAUAGCCUUCCAUUAUAUCAAUAUCUAUGUAUCUACCAUUUCGAGACUCCUCGUCAUGUCCGUGAACACAUCCGGUACUCCGAACUAUUUUGGUACAUCAAAUCACAUAACUCAUAAUACAUAUCAUCAUCGAACAUUAAGCGUGCGGACCCUACGGGUUCGAGAACUAUGUAGACAUGACUGAGACUCAUCUCCGGUCAAUAACCAAUAGCGGAACCUGGAUGCUCAUAUUGGUUCCUACAUAUUCUAUGAAGAUCUUUAUCGGUCAAACCGCAUAACAACAUAAGUUUGUUCCCUUUGUCAUCGGUAUGUUACUUGCCCGAGAUUCGAUCGUCGGUAUCAUCAUACCUAGUUCAAUCUCGUUACCGGCAAGUCCCUUUACUCAUUCCAUAAUGCAACAUCCUGCAACUAACUCAUUAGUCACAUUGCUUGGAAGGCUUAUAGUGAUGUGCAUUACCGAGAGGGCCCAGAGAUACCUCUCUGAUAAUUGGAGUGAGAAAUCCUAAUCUCGAUCUAUGCCAAGUCAACAAACACCAUCGGAGACACCGGUAGAGCAUCUUUAUAAUCACCCAGUUACGUUGUAACAUUUGAUAGCACACUAAGUGUUCUUCCGGUAUUCGGGAGUUGCAUAAUCACAUAGUCAUAGGAACAUGUACAAGUUAUGGAGAAAGCAAUAGCAAUAAACUAAACGAUCAUAGUGCUAAGCUAAUGGAUGGGUCAAGUCAGUCACAUCAUUCUCUAAUGAUGUGAUCCCGUUCAUCAAAUGACAACUUAUGUCUAUGGCUAGGAAACAUAACCAUCUUUGAUUAACGAGCUAGUCAAGUAGAGGCAUACUAGUGACACUAUGUUUGUCUAUGCAUUCACACAUGUACUAAGUUCCCGGUUAAUACAAUUCUAGCAUGAAUAAUAAACAUUUAUCAUGAUAUAAGGAAAUAUAAAUAACAACUUUAUUAUUGCCUCUAGGGCAUAUUUCCUUUAGUCUCCAACUUGCACUAGAGUCAAUAAUCUAGAUUGCAUUCUAAUGAUUCUAACACCCAUGGAGUCUUGGUGUUGAUCAUGUUUUGCUCGUGAGAGAGGCUUAGUCAACGGGUCUGAAACAUCCAGAUCCGUAUGUAUCUUGCAAAUCUCUAUGUCUCCCUCCUUGACUUGAUCGCGGAUGGAAUUGAAGCGUCUCUUGAUGUGCUUGGUUCUCUUGUGAAAUCUGGAUUCCUUUGCCAAGGCAAUUGCACCAGUAUUGUCACAAAAGAUUUUCAUUGGACCCUAUGCACUAGCUAUGACACCUACAUAGGAUAUGAACUCCUUCAUCCAGACUCCUUCAUUUGCUGCUUCCGAAGCAGCUAUGUAUUCUGCUUCACACGUAGAUCCCGCCAUGACGCUUUGCUUAGAACUGCACCAACUGACAGCUCCACCAUUCAAUAAAAAUACGUAUUCGGUUUGUGACUUAGAGUUGAAGGAAAUAUGCCCUAGAGGCAAUAAUAAAGUUGUUAUUUAUAUUUCCUUAUAUCAUGAUAAAUGUUUAUUAUUCAUGCUAGAAUUGUAUUAACCAGAAACUUAGUACAUGUGUGAAUACAUAGACAAACUAAGUAUCACUAGUAUGCCUCUACUUCACUAGCUUGUUAAUCAAAGAUGGUUAAGUUUCCUAGCCAUGGACAAAGAGUUGUCAUUUGAUAAACGGGAUCACAUCAUUAGAGAAUGAUGUGAUUGAUUUGACCCAUCUAUUAGCUUAGCACUAUGAUCGUUUAGUUUAUUGCUAUUUCUUUCUCCAUAACUUAUAUAUGUUCCUAUGACUAUGAGAUUAUGCAACUCCCGAAUACCGGAGGAACACUUAGUGUGCUAUCAAACGUCACAACGUAACUGGGUGACUAUAAAGAUGCUCUACAGGUGUCUCUAAUGGUGUUUUUUGAGUAGGCAUAGAUCAAGAUUAGGAUUUGUCUCUUCGUGUAUUGGAGAGGUAUCUCUAGGCCCUCUCGGUAAUGCACAUCACCAUAAGCCUUGCAAGAAAUGUAACUAAUGAGUUAGUUACGAGACGUAGCAUUACGGAACAAGUAAAGAGACUUGUCGCUAACGAGGUUGAACUAGGUAUUGAGAUACCGACGAUCGAAUCUCGGGCAAGUAACAUACCGAUGACAAAGGGAACAACGUAUGUUAUUAUGCGGUUUGACCGAUAAAUAUCUUCGUAGAAUAUGUAGGAACCAAUAUGAGCAUCCAUGUUCCGCUAUUGGUUAUUGACCGGAGAUGAGUCUCGGUCAUGUCUACAUAGUUCUCGAACCCGUAGGGUCCGCACGCUUAACGUUCUAUGACGAUCGGUAUUAUGAGUUUAUGUGUUUUGAUGUACCGAAGGUAGUUCGGAGUCCCGGAUAUGACCACGGACAUGACGAGGAGUCUCAGAAUGGUCGAGACAUAAAGAUUGAUGUAUUGGAAGCCUAUUUUUGGACAUCGGAAUGGUUCCGGAUGAGUUCGGGCAUUUAUCGGAGUACCGGGAGGUUACCGGAACCCACCGGGGAGUAUAUGGGCCUUAUUGGGCCUUAGUGGAAUAGAGGAGAGGAAGGGAAAGGUGGAGGGCGCGCCCCCUAGCUCAAUCCGAAUUGGGUGCCCCCCUUCCUUCCCUCUCUAUCCCCCUUCCUUCUCUCCUACCCCUACUAGGGAAAGGGGGGAAUCCUACUCCUAGUGGGAGUAGGACUCCUCCUAGGGCGCGCCAUAGAGAGGGCCGGCCCUCCCCUCCGCCACUCCUUUAUAUACGGGGGAGGGGGGCACCCCAUAGACACACAAGUUGAUCUCUUAGCCAUGUGCGGUGCCCCCCUCCACCAUAAUCCACCUCGGUCAUAUCGUUGAGUGCUUAGGCGAAGCCCUGUGCCGGUAGCUUCAUCAUCACCAUCAUCAUGCCAUCAUGCUGACGAAACUCUCCCUCGACACUCAGCUGGAUCUAGAGUUCGCGGGACGUCACCGAGCUGAACUUGUGCAGAUCGCGGAGGUGCCGUAUCUUUGGUGCUAGGAUCGGUUGGAACGUGAAGACGUAUGCCUUCAUCAACCGCGUUGUCAUAACGCUUCCGCUUCCGAUCUACAAUGGUACGUAGACAACACUCUCCCCUCUUGUUGCUAUGCAUCACCUAGAUAGAUCAUGUGUGUGCGUAGGAUUUUUUUUUAAAAUUACUGCGUUCCCCAACAGUGGUAUCAGAGCCAGAUUUAUGCGUAGAUGUUAUAUGCACGAGUAGAACACAAAGGAGUUGUGGGCGUGGGUAUAUACAUAUUGCUUGCCAUCACAAGUUCAUUCUUGAUUUAGCGGUAUUGUUGGAUGAAGCGGCUCAGACCGACAUUACGCGUACGCCUACGCGAGACUGGUUCUACCGAUGUGCUUCGCACAUAGGUGGCUAGUGGGUGUCAGUUUCUCCAACUUUAGUUGAACUGGAUUCAAUGAACAUGGUUCUUUCUGAAGAUCAAAAAGCAAUCACUAUACCGUGUUGUGAUUUUCGAUGCAUAGGUAAGAUCGGUUCUUGCUCAGCCAUAGCAGCCACGUAAAACUUGCAACAACAAAGCAGAGGACGUCUAACUUGUUUUUGCAGGGCAUGUUGUGAUGUGAUAUGGUCAAGACAUGAUGCUAAAUUUUAUUGUAUGAGAUGAUCAUGUUUUGUAACAGAGUUAUCAGCAACUAGCAGGAGUCAUAUGGUUGGCACUUUAUUGUAUGAAAUGCAAUCGCCAUGUAAUUGCUUUACUUUAUGACUAAGCGGUAGAGAUAGUCGUAGAAGCAAUAGUUGGCGAGAUGACAACGAAGCUUCGAUGGAGAUCAAGGUGUCAAGCCGGUGAUGAUGGUGAUCAUGACGGUGCUUUGAAGAUGGAGAUCAAAGGCACAAGAUGAUGAUGGCCAUAGCAUAUCACUUAUAUUGAUUGCAUGUGAUGUUUAUCCUUUAUGCAUCUUAUUUUUCUUAGUUCGGCGGUAGCAUUAUGAGAUGAUCUCUCACUAAAUUUCAAGGUACAAGUGUUCUCCCUGAGUAUGCACCGUUGCUACAGUUCGUCGUGUCGAGACACCACGUGAUGAUCGGGUGUGAUAAGCUGUACAUUCAUAUACAACGGGUACAAGCCAGUUUUGCACACGCGGAAUACUCGGGUUAAACUGGACGAGCCUAGCAUAUGCAGAUAUGGCCUCAGAACACUGAGACCGAAAGGUCGAGCGUGAAUCAUAUAGUAGAUAUGAUCAACAUAGUGAUGUUCACCAUUGAAAACUACUCCAUCUCACAUGAUGAUCGGGCAUGGUUUAGUUGAUAUGGAUCAUGUGAUCACUUAGAUGAUUAGAGGGGUGCCUAUCUAAGUGGGAGUUCUUAAGUAAUUUGAUUAAUUGAACUAUAAUUUAUCAUGAACUUAGUACCUGAUAGUAUUUUGCAUGUCUAUGUUGUUGUAGAUAGAUGGCCCAUGUUAUUGUUCCGUUGAUUUUUAAUGCGUUCCUAGAGAAAGCUAAGUUGAAAGAUGAUGGUAGCAACUACACGGACUGGGUCUAUAACUUGAGGAUUAUCCUCAUUGCUACAUAGAAGAAUUACGUCUUGGAAGCACCGAUAGGUGACAAACCCGCUGUAGGAGCAACGCUAGAUGUUGUGAACACCUGGCAGAGCAAAGCUGAUGACUACUCGAUAGUUCACUAUGCCAUGCUUUACGGCUUAGAACCGGGACUUCAAUGACGUUUUGAACGUCAUGGAGCAUAUGAGAUGUUCCAGGAGUUGAAGUUAAUAUUUCAAGAAAAUGCCCGGAUUGAGAGAUAUGAAGUCUCCAAUAAGUUCUACAGCUGCAAAAUGGAGGAGAAUAGUUCUAUUGGUGAACAUAUACUCAGAAUGUCUAGGUACCACAACCACUUGACUCAGCUGGGAGUUAAUCUUCCUGAUAAUAGUGUCAUUGACAGAGUUCUUCAAUCACUGCCACCAAGCUACAAGAGCUUCGUGAUGAACUAUAAUAUGCAAGGGAUGGAUAAGACAAUUCCCUAUCUCUUCGCAAUGCUAAAGGCUGCGGAGGUAUAAAUCAAGAAGGAGCAUCAAGUGUUGAUGGUCAACAAGGCCACUAGUUUCAAGAAAAGGGUAGAGGGAAGAAGGGGAACUUCAAAAAGAAUAGCAAGCAAGUUGCUGCUCAAGUGAAGAAGCCCAAGUAUGGACCUAAGCCUGAGAGUGAUUGCUUCUACUUCAAAGGGACUGGUCACUGGAAACGGAAAUUCCCCAAGUAUUUGGAGGAGAAUAAGGAUGGCAAAGUGAAAGGUAUAUUUGAUAUACAAGUUACUGAUGUGUACCUUACUGAUGCUCACAGUAGCGCCUGGGUAUUUGAUACUGGUUCCGUUGCUAAUAUUUGCAAAUCGAAACAGGGGCUACAGAUUAAGCGAAGAUUGGCUAAGGGUGAGGUGACGAUGUGCGUGGGAAAUGGUUCCAAAGUCGAUGUGAUCAUCGUCGGCACGCUUCCUCUGCAUCUACCUUCAAGAUUAGUUUUAGACCUAAAUAAUUGUUAUUUGGUGCCAGCGUUGAGCAUGAACAUUAUAUCUGGAUCUUGUUUGAUACAAGACGGUUAUUCAUUUAAAUAAGAGAAUAAUGGUUGUUAUUUAUAUGAAUAAUAUCUUUUAUGGUCAUGCAGCCUUGAUGAGUGGUCUGUUUUUACUACAUCUUGAUAGUAAUGAUACACAUGUUCAUAGUAUUUAAGCCAAAAGAUAUAAGUUUAAUAAUGAUAGUGCAACUUAUUUGUGGCACUGUCGUUUAGGUCAUAUUGGUGUAAAGCGCAUGAAGAAACUCCAUGAUGAUGGACUUUUGGAAUCACUUGAUUAUGAAUCACUUGAUGCUUGCGAACCAAGCCUCAUGGCCAAGAUGACAAAAACUCCAUUCUCUGGAACAAUGGCGCGAGCAACAGACUUGUUGGAAAUAAUACAUACUGAUGUAUAAGGUCUGAUGAGUGUUGAUGCUCACGGCGGGUAUCGUUAUUUUCUUACCUUCACAGAUGAUUUAAGCAGAUAUGGGUAUAUCUACUUUAUGAAACAUAAGUCUGAAACAUUUGAAAAGUUCAAAGAAUUUCAGAGUGAAGUGGAAAAUCAUUGUAACAAGAAAAUUAAGUUUCUACGAUCUGAUCGUGGAGGUGAAUAUUUGAGUUAUGAGUUUGGUCUUCAUCUGAAACAAUCCGGAAUAGUUUCGCAACUCACGCUACCUGGAACACCACAACGUAAUGGUGUGUCCGAACGUCAUAACCGCACUUUAUUAGAUAUGGUGCGAUCUAUGAUGUCUCUCACCGAUUUACCGCUAUCAUUUUGGGGUUCUGCUUGAGAGACGACUACAUUCAAGAUAAAUAGGGCACCAUCAAAAUCCGUUGAGACGACACCUUAUGAACUAUGGUUUGGCAAGAAACUCAAGUUGUCGUUUCUUAAAGUUUGGGGCUGCGAUGCUUAUGUGAAAAAGCUUCAACCUGAUAAGCUCAAACCCAAAUCGGAGAAAUGUGUCUUCAUAGGAUACCCAAAGGAGACUGUUGGGUACACCUUCUAUCACAGAUCUGAAGGCAAGAUAUUCGUUACUAAGAAUGGAUCCUUUCUAGAGAAGGAGUUUCUCUUGAAAGAAGUGAGUGGGAGGAAAGUAGAACUUGACGAGGUAAUUGUACCUACUCCCUUAUUGGAAAGUAGUUCAUCAUAGAAAUCAGUUCCAGUGAUUCCUACACUAGUAAGUGAGGAAGCUAAUGAUGAUGAUCAUGAAACUUCUGAUCAAGUUACUAUUGAACCUCGUAGGUCAACCAAAGUAAGAUCCGCACCAGAGUAGUAUGGUAAUCAAGUUCUAGAGGUCAUGUUACUUGACCAUGACAAACCUACGAACUAUGAGGAAGCGAUGAUGAACCCAGAUUCCGCGAAGUGGCUUGAGGCCAUGAAAUCUGAGAUGAGAUCCAUGUAUGAGAAGAAAGUAUGCACUUUGGUUGACUUGCCCGAUGAUCGGCAGGCCAUACAGAAUAAAUGGAUCUUCAAGAAGAAGACUGACUCUGACGGUAAUGUUAUUGUCUACAAAGCUCGACUUGUUGCAAAAGGUUUUCGACAAGUUCAAGGAGUUGACUACGAUGAGACCUUCUCACCCGUAGCGAUUCUUAAGUCCGUCCGGAUCAUGUUAGCAAUUGCCGCAUUUUAUGAUUAUGAAAUUUGGAAAAUGGAUGUCAAAACUGCAUUCCUUAAUGGAUAUCUUAAAGAAGAGUUGUAUACAAUGCAACCAGAAGGUUUUGUCAAUCCGAAAGGUGCUAACAAAGUGUGCAAGCUCAAGCGAUCCAUUUAUGGACUCAUGCAAGCCUCUCAGAGUUGGAAUAUACGCUUUGAUAGUGUGAUCAAAGAUAUGGUUUUAUACAGACUUUUGGAGAAGCCUGUAUUUACAAGAAAGUGAGUGGCAGCUCUGUAGCAUUUCUGAUAUUAUAUGUAGAUGACAUAUUGCUGAUCAAAAAUGAUACUGAAUUUCUAAAUAGCAUAAAAGGAUACUUGAAUAAGAAUUUUUUCAAUGAAAGACCUUGGUGAAGCUGCUUAUAUAUUGGGCAUCAAGAUCUAUAGAGAUAGAUCAAAACGCUUAAUUGGACUUUCACAAAGCACAUACCUUUAUAAAGUUUGACGAAGUUAAUGGAUCAAGCAAAGAAAGGGUUCUUGCCUGUGUUGCAAGGUGUGAAGUUGAGUCAGACUCAAUGCCCGACCACUGCAGAAGAUAGAGAGAAAAUGAAAGUCAUUCCCUAUGCAUCAGCCAUAGGUUCUAUCAUGUAUGAAAUGCUGUGUACCAGGCCUGAUGUGUGCCUUGCUAUUAGUUUUGCAGGGAGGUACCGAAGUAAUCCAGGAGUGGAUCACUGGUCAGCGGUCAAGAACAUCCCGAAAUACCUGAAAAGGACUAAGGAUAUGUUUCUCGUUUAUGGAGGUGACAAAGAGCUCGUCGUAAACGAUUACGUCGAUGCAAGAUUUGACACUGAUUCGGAUGACUCUUAGUCACAAACCGGAUACGUAUUUUUAUUGAAUGGUGGAUCUGUCAGUUGGUGGAGUUCCAAGCAGAGCGUCGUGGCAGGAUCUACGUGUGAAGCGGAGUACAUAGCUGCUUCGGAAGUAACAAAUGAAGGAGUCUGGAUGAAGGAGUUCAUAUCCGAUCUAGCUGUCAUACCUAGUGCAUCGGGUCUAACGAAAAUAUUUUGUGACAAUGCUGGUGCAAUUGCCUUGGCAAAGGAAUCCAGAUUUCAUAAGAGAACCAAGCACAUCAAGAGACACUUCAAUUCCAUCUGCGAUCAAGUCAAGGAGGGAGACAUAGAGAUUUGCAAUAUACAUACGGCUCUGAAUGUUGCAGACCCGUUGACUAAGCCUCUCUCACGAACAAAACAUGAUCAGCACCAAGACUCCACGGGUGUUAGAAUCAUCACAAUGUAAUCUAGAUUAUUGACUCUAGUGUAAGUGGGAGACUGAAGGAAAUAUGCCCUAGAGGCAAUAAUAAAGUUGUUAUUUAUAUUUCCUUAUAUCAUGAUAAAUGUUUAUUAUUCAUGCUAGAAUUGUAUUAACCGGAAACUUAAUACAUGUGUGAAUACAUAGACAAACUAAGUGUCACUAGUAUGCAUCUACUUGACUAGCUCGUUAAUCAAAGAUGGUUAAGUUUCCUAGCCAUGGACAAAGAGUUGUUAUUUGAUAAACGGGAUCACAUCAUUAGAGAAUGAUGUGAUUGACUUGACCCAUCCAUUAGCUUAGCACUAUGAUCGUUUAGUUUAUUGUUAUUGCUUUCUCCAUAACUUAUACAUGUUCCUAUGACUAUGAGAUUAUGCAACUCCCGAAUACCGGAGGAACACUUAGUGUGCUAUCAAACAUCACAACGUAACUGGAUGACUAUAAAGAUGCUCUACAGGUGUCCCUGAUGGUGUUUGUUGAGUUGGCAUAGAUCGAGAUUAGGAUUUGUCUCUCCGUGUAUCGGAGAGGUGUCUUUGGGCCCUCUCGGUAAUGCAAAUCACUAUAAGCCUUGCAAGCAAUGUAACUAAUGAGUUAGUUACGGGAUGUAGCAUUAUGGAACGAGUAAAGAGACUUGCCGGUAACGAGAUUGAACUAGGUAUUGAGAUACCGAUGAUUGAAUCUUGGGCAAGUAACAUACCGAUGACAAAGGAAACGACGUAUGUUGUUAUGCGGUUUGAUGGAUAAAGAUCUUUGUAGAAUAUGUAGGAACCAAUAUGAGCAUCCAGGUUCUGCUAUUGGUUAUUGGCUGGAGAUGAGUCUCGGUCAUGUCUACAUAGUUCUUGAACCCAUAGGGUCCGCACGCUUAACGUUCGGUGACGAUCGGUAUUAUGAGUUUAUGUGUUUUGAUGUACCGAAGGUAGUUCGGAGUCUCGGAUAUGAUCAUGGACAUGACGAGUCUCAGAAUGGUCGAGAAUUAAAGAUCGAUAUAUUGAAAGCCUAUGUUUGGACAUCAGAAUGGUUCCGAAUGAGUUCGGGCAUUUACCGGAGUAUUGGAAGGUUACUGGAACCCCCCGGGGAGUAUAUGGGCCUUAUUGGGCCUUAUUGUAAUGUGGAGGGCGCGCCCCCCUAUCCCAAUCUGAAUUGGGUGGGGGGCUCCCCCCCCCCCCCGUCCUUAUCUCCUACUCCUACUAGGGAAAGGGGGGAAUCCUACUCCUGGUGGGAGUAGGACUCCCCCUAGGGCGCGCCAUAGAGAGGGCCAACCCUCCCCUCCUCCACUCCUUUAUAUACGGGGGAGGGGGAACCCCAUAGACACACAAGUUGAUCCCUUAGCCGUGUGCGAUGCCCCCCUCCACCAUAAUCCACCUCGGUCAUAUCGUUGCAGUGCUUAGGCGAAGCCCUGCGCCGGUAGCUUCAUCAUCACCAUCAUCACGCCGUCGUGCUGACGAAACUCUCCCUCGACACUCAGCUGGAUCUAGAGUUCGCGGGAGAUCACCGAGCUGAACGUGUGCAGAUCGUGGAGGUGUCGUAUCUUUGGUGCUAGGAUCGGUCGGAUCCUUAAGACGUACGACUACAUCAACCGCGUUGUCAUAACGCUUCCGCUUACGUUCUACAAGGGUACAUAGACAACACUCUCCCCUCUUGUUGCUAUGCAUCACCUAGAUAGAUCUUGCAUGUGCGUAGGAAUUUUUUUGAAAUUACUGCAUUCCCCAACAAGAGUCAUCCAGAUCAUUUUCUCACUAUCUUCUGCAGUGGUCGGGCAUUGUGUCUGACUGAACUUCACACCUUGUAACACAGGCAAGAACCCUUUCUUUGCUUGAUCCAUUUUGAACUUCUUCAAAACUUUAUCAAGGUAUGUGCUUUGUGAAAGUCCAAUUAAGCGUCUUGAUCUAUCUCUAUAGAUCUUGAUGCCCAAUAUAUAAGCAGCUUCACCGAGGUCUUUGAUUGAAAAAUUCUUAUUCAAGUAUCCUUUUACGCUAUUCGGAAAUUCAGUAUCAUUUCCAAUCAACAAUAUGUCAUCCACAUAUAAUAUCAGAAAUGGUACAGAGCUCCCACUCACUUUCUUGUAAAUACAGGCUUCUCCAAAAGUCUAUAUAAAACCAUAUGCUCUGAUCACUCUAUCAAAGAGUAUAUUCGAACUCCGAGAUGCUUGCACCAGUCCAUAAAUGGAUCGCUGGAGCUUACACACUUUCUUAGCACCUUUUGGAUCGACAAAACCUUCUGGUUGCAUCAUAUACAACUCUUCUUUAAGAUAUCCAUUAAGGAAUGCAGUUUUGACAUCCAUUUGCCAAAUUUCAUAAUCAUAAAAUGCGGUAAUUGCUAACAUGAUUCGGAUGGACUUAAGCAUCGCUAUGGGUGAGAAGGUCUCAUCGUAGUCAACUCCUUGAACUUGUCGAAAACCUUUUGCAACAAGUCGAGCUUUGUAGAUUGUAAGAUUACCGUCAGCGUCAGUCUUCUUCUUGAAGAUCCAUUUAUUCUCUAUGGCUUGCUGAUCAUCGGGUAAGUCAACCAAAGUCCACACUUUGUUCUCAUACAUGGAUCCUGUCGUGGAAUUGUCACGGCAGAUGUCCUAGUGAAAGGACUUAGUCGUGGAGCCAUCGCGACGGGUUAGUGUAACGCCCUCGAUGCGGCUAUAUCUCCUACGUGUCGAAGCAUGACUUAGAGGCAUAACCGCAUUGAAAGCAAUGUCGCAAGUAAGGUAAUCUUCACAACAUCCCAUGUAAUAUAGAGAAUAAAAGGGGACGGUACAUAGUUGGAUUACACUCGCCACGUCAAACAAAGUACAUAAAUAGCAUUACAUCAACCAAUCACUCAUGGCCCGACUAUGGUGCCAAAAUAAAAGAUCAACCCAACAUGCGACACGGUCCCGAUCGCCCCAACUGGGCACCACUACUGAUCAUCAGGGAAAGACACAUAGUAACGGCGUGAGUCCUCGUCGAACUCCCACUUGAGCUCAAGCGCGUCAUCUGGAACGGAGUCGUCUGGCCCUGCAUCUGGUUUGGAAGUAAUCUGUGAGCCACAGGAACUCAACAAUCUCGCACCCUCGCGAUCAAGACUAUUUAAGCUUAUAGGUAAGGCAAGGUAAAUAUGUGGAGCUGCAGCAAGCGACUAGCAUAUAUGGUGGCUAACCUGUUCGCAAAAGAGAGCGAGAAGAGAAGGCAACGCGCGAACGAAUAACUAGAGAACAAACCUGUGGCAAGCAUUACUCCAACACCGUGUUCACUUCCUGGACUCCGCCGAGAAGAGACCAUCACGGUAACACACACCGUUGAUACAUUUUAAUUAAGUUAAGGUUCAAGUUAUCUACAACCGGACAUUAACAAAUUCCCAUCUGCCCAUAACCGCGGGCACGGCUUUUGAAAGUUCAAAUCCCUGCAUGGGAGCCCCAACUUAGCCCAUGACAAGCUCUCACGGUCAACGAAGGAUAUACCUUCUCCCGAGACAUUCCGAUCAGGCUCGGUAUCCCGGUUCUACAAGACACUUCGACAAGUUAAAACAAAUCCAGCAACACCGCCCGAAUGUGCCGACAAAUCCCGAUAGGAGCUGCACAUAUCUCGUUCUCAGGGCACACUCAGAUGAGCCAGACGUCGGGUAGGCCAGCCCAGAGUUGCCCCUGGUAGCCCCGAACAUCGCUUGGUUGGACCAACACUCAGAGGAGCACUGGCCCAGGGGGUUUAAAAUAAGAUGACCCUCGGGCUCCGGAAACCCAAGGGAAAAAGAGGCUAGGUGGCAAAUGGUAAAACCAAGGUUGGGCACUGAUGGAAAAGCUUUAUUCAAGGCGAACUGUCAAGGGGUUCCCAUUAUCACCCAACCGCGUAAGGAACGCAAAAAUCCGGGAACAUAACACCGAUAUAAAGGAAACUAGGGCGGCAAGACUGGAACAAAACACUAGGCAAAAGGCCGAGCCUUCCACCCUUUACCAAGUAUAUAGAAGCAUUAAGAUAACAAGAUAAUAUAAUGAUAUCCCAAACAAGAAAAUAAUGUUCCAAUAAGGAACGGUCUCCAAUCUUCACCUGCAACUAGCAACGCUAUAAGAGGGGCUGAGCAAAGCGGUAACAUAGCCAAUCAACGGUUUGCUAGGACAUGGUGGGUUAGAGGUUUGACAUGACAAUUUGGGAGGCAUGAUAAGCAAGUGGUAGGCGUCAUAGCAUAGGCAUAGCAAAAGAGCGAGCAUCUAGCAAAGCAAAGAUAGAAGUGAUUUCGAGGGUAUGAUCAUCUUGCCUGCAAAGUUGUAAGAGUUGACUGGAUCCUCGAAAGCAAACUCAACGGGAUCCUCGUUAGCGAAUUCGUCUCCCGGCUCUACCCAAACAAGACAAACAAGCAAAAAGGACACAAUCAACCACGUGCAAACUCAAACAACAUGAUGCAAACAUGGUAUGCUAUGCGGGAUGCGAUAUGUGAUACAUAUGCAAGAUUUGACAAGGAAUGAAUGAACCUGGCCUCAACUUGGAAAUCCAAGUGUGCCACUAGAAACGUGAGGUGAUUUCGGUUGAAAUCGGUAUAAAGAACACCAGAAUCGGAGACACGGUUUGGAAAUGGCAAGCAAUUCAAAUAUGGCACCGGUCUGCGAUAUACAGCAAGUAGCCAUCUAAAUGCAACAAGCUAAACAUGCUACAGCACCCAAACAUGGCAAGAAAAUACAUGUCAGGGAUCCAUUCAUGAAGUUUAACAAAACAUGAACACUGAGCUAUGGCCAAUUCAUUCAUUAACAGGUUCAAACAAGCAUGGCAAAAGUGCAAUUGGUAAACAAAUUUCAGACUUAGUGAAAUUAACACUUGUCUGGAAUUUCAGAUCAGAUAGCACAAUUUGGAGCAUGAAAACUAUAUGCUAGAGGGACUGAACAUGGCAAAUUAAAGCAUGGCAUGGAGCUACUCAAAGAGCUUAACAAAAGUCCCUUAGUGACCUUUAGCCAAAAGGGAUCAGAAAAUACAAUUGCAAGCAUGUGAACAUGGCAAAAACAUAAUCAGAUCACAGACUUAGUGAAAGCUGGAGCAUGCAAAUCAGAUAUCAAGUAGGCAUAUUUACGAACUCGAUGCACUCACUACAGAGGAUGUCAUGACAAUAUAAGCAUACACCCAUCAAGAAUACACAUUAUACAAGCUAGACAUGGCAAGAACAAUAACCUAGCAUGCACGGAUCAACUACAACAUCCUCGGCAAAAUCGCUAACAAGUAGACAAUCUGCCCAAAUUCACGAAAUAGCAAAAGUAGAGCUCGAUUGACUCAAGCUAGGGUGCUCCAUAAUUGUAAACAAAGACAUGGAUGGAUAGAGCACUACAAUAUUAACAAAUCAUCCUUACUGAUAAUCCUCAAAAGAGGCACGAAUCACUAGGAAACAACGUGACAUAUGGCAUAUUGAUAAAAACAGUCCAAGGACUUAGUGGAAUUGCUAAGUCCCUGAAAUCGGCAUUAACGAAUGAACCACUUUGCAAGCUUGUGCUAGUCACCACACACAUCACCAAAAUACAUGGAUGGCACCUCUGGAAAGAUGACAAAGCAUAUAACAAAACUCAUGAAGAGCUCAGGGGCAUAUCAUGCACACAUUAAUCAUGGCAAAAAUGACAAAUAGCUAUUUGGAGCAGCAGAUCUGACAAUUAACUCAAAUAGCACUCUUCCAAUAGCAUUUCGGGCAUCAAGAUGAACUCAAAUGAAAAUGAUGCAAUGAGAUGAAAUGAUGUACUCUUUGAGGCGAACAUUUUGAUAUGCUACAAGCCCAAAACGGAUCUACGGAUGCAAAGUUACGACAUGAUGAACAUAGCAAAAUAAAUAGGGUUAGGAACGAGAAAGUCAACCCCUAGGGUUUCCAGAUCCAGAUCGGAUCUCGCCGGAGUUACUAUAGCUGGCGCGCCUCCCGAUGUUCAACGUCACCGGAGCCGAGGUCGGAGGUCGAGGAGGAGGACGACGGAGGGCGGCGGGCCGCUGGACGACGAGGGGGCGAGGCGCGGCCGGGUCGCCAGCGUCGAGGAACCGCGGCGGGGCGGCGGAGGUNNNNNNNNNNNNNNNNNNNNNNNNNNNNNNNNNNNNNNNNNNNNNNNNNNNNNNNNNNNNNNNNNNNNNNNNNNNNNNNNNNNNNNNNNNNNNNNNNNNNNNNNNNNNNNNNNNNNNNNNNNNNNNNNNNNNNNNNNNNNNNNNNNNNNNNNNNNNNNNNNNNNNNNNNNNNNNNNNNNNNNNNNNNNNNNNNNNNNNNNNNNNNNNNNNNNNNNNNNNNNNNNNNNNNNNNNNNNNNNNNNNNNNNNNNNNNNNNNNNNNNNNNNNNNNNNNNNNNNNNNNNNNNNNNNNNNNNNNNNNNNNNNNNNNNNNNNNNNNNNNNNNNNNNNNNNNNNNNNNNNNNNNNNNNNNNNNNNNNNNNNNNNNNNNNNNNNNNNNNNNNNNNNNNNNNNNNNNNNNNNNNNNNNNNNNNNNNNNNGGACGCGGCGCGGCGGCUUGGUCGUCGGACGCGGGAAGGACGAAGGCGCGGGGCGGCGACACGUGCGUGGGUCGAGAGGGCUCUCUCCGGGCCCAGGCGGGCCCGCGCGGCGGCGAUGUGGGCGCGGUGGCGGCGGCGAAUGGAGAGGCGCCAUGUGGCGGCGGCGGGCGUAGUGGACACGUCCUGCGCCGGGGAACGUUGUCCGGCGCACGGAGGAAGAAGAGGGCUAGGGUUUCGGGGAAGAGAUCCAAAUUUUUGUGGAAGGAGCUAUAUAUAGGCCUAGAGGGAGCUAGGAGAGUCCAAAUGAGGUGCGGUUUUCGGCCACGCGAUCGUGAUCGAACGCUCUAGAUGAUGGAGAGGGUUUUGGUGGGUUUUGGGCCAAAAUGGAGGUGUGUUGGGCUGCAACACACACGAGGCCUUUUCGGUCCCUCGGUUAACCGUUGGAGCAUCAAACGAAGUCCAAAUGGUACGAAACUUGACAGGCGGUCUACCGGUAGUAAACCAAGCCCGCUUGGCAAGUCUCGGUCCAAUCCAGAAAUGUUUAACCCCCACACACGAAAGAAAGGUAGAAAUGACCACCGGAGGAGAACGGAGCGCCGGAAUGCAAAACGGAAAACGGGGAAAUGCUCGGGUGCAUGAGACGAACACGUAUGCAAAUGCAAUGCACAUGAUGACAUGAUAUGAGAUGCAUGACAACAACAACCACACACAUAGACAAAAACCCGAACCCGAGAAAAUAAAACAACUUAGCGCCGAAAACGGCAAGAGUUGGAGUACAUAUUAGGUAAAUCAUAUCCGGGGUGUUACAGUUAGCUUAAAGGGGUUAAAGCAGGCGAGGGACGCAAGGAAUUAUAUUGGUUCUGCCCCUUACGAUGAAGGUAAAAGCCUACUCUAGUUGUGAUGGAAUUGCUAAGGUUUCGAUGACUAGGGAGCGAAUCCGCUUCGCCUGGCUCUCGAGUUAUUGUUGUCUGUCUCUAAACCGCCGCCGGGUCGUCCCUUUAUAUACACAGGUUGACGCCGGGCGGUUUACAGAAUACCGAGGCCGGCUCAUAAACAUGCUCGGCUCGGUUUCUACCUUUCCUUGCCUUAUAACAUAAGUUACAUAUCAUAUGGCGGUUUAUGUCUAUGGGCUCUAAUCCGCCUUUGGGCCCUGGGCCUUCAUGUUAGACCUCCUCUGUAAAGCGCCAUACUUCUUUUCUUCAUGGGCUUCAAACAUGAGUAACUCACUGUGGGCAUAACCCGGCCCCUCAUGGUUGGUUUAUACCUAGUAGUAAUAUCUCCAACAUUAGGCCCCAGAUUGAUUUGAACUUGUUCAUGUCAAUCUUCAACACUUAGAAAAAUUCCUCAUUCCGCACCUUCGCAUAAAUCUUGUAAACCGCCAUGACGUCAUCUUCCAGGUUCGUAAUAAACCGCCAUGAUGUCACCUGUUAUUAAAAAUUGAAUAUACCUCACCUUCAUUAAUGAGCCUCCAACAAUAGAGGCGUUAGCUCUGUCACAAAUCCAAUUUUUUGGGCUCCUCGAUUUUCGCGCCUGCCUGUUCGCCUAUCUCCUUAUAAAUAGGCACGGCUAGUCUUCCUCAUUCUUCUUCCUUCUCUUGCAACCCUUCUGUCUCUUGAACUCCGCCGCCACCACAGCGCUCACCGUCGUCCUUGAUGACCCACAAGUAUAGGGGAUCUAUCGUAGUCCUUUCGAUAAGUAAGAGUGUCAAACCCAACGAGGAGUAGAAGGAAAUGAUAAGCGGUUUUCAGCAAGGUAUUCUCUGCAAGCACUGAAAUUAUAGGUAAUAGAUAGUUUUGUGAUAAGAUAAUUUGUAAUGAGCAACAAGUAACAAAAGUAAAUAAAGUGCAGCAAGGUGGCCCAAUCCUUUUUGUAGCAAAGGACAAGCCUGGACAAAUUCUUAUAUAGAGAAAAGCGCUCCCGGGGACACAUGGGAAUUAUCGUCAAGCUAGGUUUCAUCACGAUCAUAUGAUUCGCGUUCGGUACUUUGAUAAUCUGAUAUGUGGGUGGACCGGUGCUUGGGUGCUGCCCUUACUUGGACAAACAUCCAACUUAUGAUUAACCUCUAUUGCAAGCAUCCGCACCUACAACAAAAGUAUUAAGGUAAACCUAACCAUAGCAUGAAACAUAUGGAUCCAAAUCAGCCCCUUACGAAGCAACGCAUAAACUAGGGUUUAAGCUUCUGUCACUCUAGCAACCCAUCAUCUACUUAUUACUUCCCAAUGCCUUCCUCUAGGCCCAAAUAAUGGUGAAGUGUCAUGUAGUCGACGUUCACAUAACACCACUAGAGGAGAGACAACAUACAUCUCAUCAAAAUAUCGAACGAAUACCAAAUUCACAUGACUACUAAUAGCAAGACUUCUCCCAUGUCCUCAGGAACAAACGUAACUACUCACAAAGCAUAUUCAUGUUCAUAAUCAGAGCGGUAUUAAUAUGCAUAUAGGAUCUGAACAUAUGAUCUUCCACCAAAUAAACCAACUAGCAUCAACUACAAGGAGUAAUUAACACUAGUAGCAACCCACAGGUACCAAUCCCAGACUUGGAGACAAUAAUUGGAUACAAGAGAUGAACUAGGGUUUGAGAGGAGAUGGUGCUAGUGAAGAUGUUGAUGGAGAUUGACCCCCUCCCGAUGAGAGGAUCGUUGGUGAUGACGGUGGCGAUGAUUUCCCCCUCUCGGAGGGAAGUGUCCCCGGCAGAACAGCUCCGCUAGAGCCCUAGAUUGGUUCCUCCAAGGUUCCGCCUCGUGGCGGCGGAGUCUCAUCCCGAAAGCUUGCUUAUGAUUUUUUCCUCAACAAAGGACUCCAUAUAGUAGAAGAUGGGCAUCGGAGGGCCACCAAGGGGCCCACGAGGUAGGGGAGCGCGCCCAGGGGGUAAGGUGCGCCCCCACCCUCAUGGCCAGGGUGUGGCCCCCCUCUGGAACUUCUUGCGCUCAGUAUUUUUUAUAUAUUCUGAAAAUGACUUCCGUGAAGUUCUAGGACUUUUGGAGCUAUGCAGAAUAGGUCUCUAAUAUUUGCUCAUUUUCCAGCCCAGAAUCCCAGCUGCCGGCAUUCUCCCUCCUUAUGUAAACCUUGUAAAAUAAGAGAGAAUAGGCAUAAGUAUUGUGACAUAAUGUGUAAUAACAGCAAAUAAUGCAAUAAAUAUCGAUAUAAAAGCAUGAUGCAAAAUGGAAGUAUCAGUCCUCAACCUUGGCCGCUGCAUCAACCUGAGCUUGUCCAGAGAAUGGCGGCGACCCUCAGUAGUAGAUCUACGUCCGUAAGUUUUUACUUUUCCGCACCUUAGAUCCGCAUUAGGGUUUGCAAGUUCUUCUGUGUUCUUCGCUGUUCCUCACGGAUUCUUCGUAUUUUCUCCACUGCAUCCUCUUUUGAUCUAAAAGAAGUAUGGAACUCACGCAGUAGUUGUUUCGUAUCUAUUUCAGAUGCUAGUAGAUCCCCUUUUCUUGUACAAAGGCCUCCUUAGAACUGAUGAACUCCUCUGUACCGGUUUUUUAGGUCUAGACUUAUUUUCCUUUUCCUGACAUGUGGUAGAUCCAAAAUUCCAAUGUGAAACGGUGAAACUUGUUUUUCCUCACUUAGUCAUUUUUGCUUCAGAUCUGUACUUUCAUUAUCUGCAUCGGUGGUUUAUCCUGUAGAAAAUAAUCUGCCAUAUGCCAUUAGUCCCCUUGUAAACCGCCAAUCACUUUACCAUUUAUAAUAGAAUCGACCUCCGGUUUAACAAGUUUGCAUGCUUGAAUACCUUUUCCUUAACCUGCUACGCUUUAUACUUGCCAGCCAUGAGUCUUAAACUGGCAACAAUCUUUUUUUCCAGCUCUUCAUUCGAAAUGGCCAAACAAUUUUAUGCUUGUAACUGGGUCCCUUCCCGGGUUACUAAAGAGCAACUAGAUGGAUGCGUCAGAACUAGCGCUUUACCAAAACGAAGCGAAAUCCAUUGGCGAGUUCCCGGUCCAGAGAAUCCUCCAACCCCAAGGAUGGCGAGGUAGUGAUAUUUGUUGAUCACAUGAGUCGUGGUUUUAAACCGCCCGGGUCCAAGUUUUUCCAUGAUGUGCUUGCCAGCUUCCAGAUGCACCCUCAAGAUAUUGGACCUAACUCUAUGUACAAUAUUUGCCACUUUCAAGUGUUCUCUGAGGCCUAUCUGCAAGAAGAGCCAACCGUUGAAUUGUUCAGGGAUUUUUUCUACUUGAGUCAUCGCACUGAAUUUGACAGGCCCAACACCGAACUUGGCGGAGUUUCUAUUUAGAAAAGGAAGGACGUCAGCUUUCCUCAUGCAAAACUUCAUAGUCAUCCUAAAGAAUGGAACUAGAUUUGGUUCUACUGUAAGGAUACUUCCCAUGAUGAUGAGAACCCUCUGCCGGGUUAUCGUGCUCACCAGCUUACCAAUACACAUCCACUUCCACAACGGCUGACUGCCAAGGAACGGGCCACAUACACUCCACAACUCGCCAAGCUCAGAGCCUUUAUGGCUAACGGUUUGACAAGAGUUGAUUUUGCUCGUUGCUGGAUAUCUUGGAGUAUUUUAUCGUUAAGCCGUCGCCCCGGUUUAAUGUGUCAGUACAUAGGGGGAUUAAAAGAUCCUCGGCGGCAUAUUGAUAUUCAGCUAACAGAGGCUGAAGUUACUGAGUCUGUUAAGAAGAUGUUGGAUGAACCGGUGGCUGUCUGCAGCAAAACAGGGCUUAGUCCCUUCUGCGUUUCCAAUAAACCGAUAGCUGUAAGACUUGCCUCACUCCUGCUUGUACUUGAUAUUCUUAUUUGUGUAAUAUUUUAUGUCCUCUGUCAAUCUUUUAACAGGGUGAUGACUCAUUCCGGAAGAAGAAGCCAUAGGAUAAACCGGCCAAGACCCCUCGGCCUAAGACGAAGGUUGUUAAGAAACCUGCCAAGAAAAAGGCAGCUGAAUCCACCGGGUUAAACCUCGAUGAUGACCUUGAUGAUCCGGACGCAGAGGUAGAACUUGACUCUCUUGGUUCGUUUUUCAUACACCUCAUUGACAAUGAUUAUUAUCAGGAUGAUGCUAAAGGCAGCCAAGCCAAUGACGCAGAGGUAAUUAUCCUUUCCUCCUGUGCAGACCCUCUGCCAACACAAAAAAUCCAUCAAGCAAUCUGGAAAGUAAGAUUUUCUCACCCCCUAGCUCACUUGGACCCAAACUUUCUUUUGAAGAAGCAGCAACACGAAGCUUGCCGCACAACCCGGCACAGCGGCCAAGUAGUCACUUCAGCCGGUUUACCAAACACUCCGGCUUGGAAACAUCGAUCUGAGGUCUCACACACUCCCGAUACUUCUUAUCCCAAGGCGGGUUAUUUCCGACAACCUCUUAAUCCAUCUGAUUCAAAUUAUCAGGGAACGCCUCAUUCAUCAUCCGGUGAGUCAACGACCACACAGCUCCCUCCUCUUAAAAUUGUUCCUGGGUAAACACUUUAAACUUAAUCCUUUGACGCUUUAUACUUGCGUGCUAUACUAACCUUUAUAUCUUUUUCCUUUCAGAGCCAAGGCCAGACCCAGCAAGAAAGCUCGGGUAGAUAAACCGUCUGAUGACAAUGUGGUUAUUGAACCGGAGAGAACUCCAGAACCGAAAGGAACAAAUGUUGAUGGUGUGCUUGAUGAUCCGCCACCUCAAGAUCACGACUUUGUUGUUGAACAAGUAGAACUUGAUGCAACCGGCCAUGUUGAUAAACCGACAAGCCCGUUUUGCACUGAUGAUAAACCGUCAAGUCCAUCUAAGGCUGCUGAUAAAUCGUCAACUCCAGUAAAGGCUGCUGGUGACAAGGAAGAUGAUGUUAUAAUUACUAGCAUUGGCCACACCACCCCUAGCAAUCCUGUUGCGUUAUCAAAGCAUAGUGCCAAGGAGGAACUUUCUGCUAUGGGCAAAGGCAAAUGGAGCACAGACUUGUCAAGCUACACCCACCUCAACGCCCAAGAACUUCAUUCUGGUUUUUUAAACGGUAUGCACACAAACCCGACUACGAAGCCGGUUUAGUGAAUCUAAUGAAGGAGCGAUAUGAGGUUAAUUACAUAAUUGUUUCUCUCUUGUGUCCAAUUUCAAGUACCAACUCCAGUAGCCCCAAGGGCUGAUUUAUGAUGCCAAUCUAAACUAGCACUUUGCUAUAUCUCAACUCUGCAUGUUUAUCCUCCAAGGGCCGGUUUAUCUUUUGAAGAUGAACCGGUACUUUAACAUUGUGAUCUUUUAACUUUCGCCUGUGUAGUCCCCAAGGGCCGGUUUAUCUUUCCAAGCUGAACCGGGUCUUUAACCAAUGUUACUUUGAGAAAACGUACAUUAGCCCCCAAGUGUCAAGAAUAAUACUUGUAUUGUGCUUGGGACUUGUAAAAUAUUUCUGGUAAUCAAACAAAUAGGCAUUGGCCCCCAAGUGCCAAGUGUAUAACUUGUUAUGUGCUUGGUACUUCCAAUAUUCACUGCCAUCUCAUAAUAUGUCUUUAUCUUAUAGGCUGAGCUAAGCAAAAAGGAAGCCCAAACCGCUGACCUUCAAGAAAAUAUCAAAUCCCAGCAAGCAGAAACCUCCAAAGCCAAAGAGGAACUGACCAGUGCCUUAGCAGCCAUGGAGAAGCUGAAGGAAACUUUUAAUAAGGAACAGGCGGAUUGGGGCACAGAGAAAACUGCAUUGCAAAAGAGGGCUGAAGAAGCAGAAGCGGCCCUUAAACCGGCGGUCGAAGAGCUGGCCGGUUUAAAGUGGCAGAUAAAUGCCAUGACUGCUGUUGUGUUUGGUAAGUCUCCUCAUCUAAAGUUGUCAAUAUAUAUAUAUUAUCUCAUCAGUUUACCGGUUUACUGAUGCUUGCAAUGACACAGGAACGUGCAUUACCCAUCUGGGCUCUGACAUGUGGAUGAAGCUGAAGGCUGCCUAUACUCUGAUAGAGCAGUUAUAUUCCGGAGCUCAACGGGCCAUCUGCACCGAUGCGCAUAACAAACCACCUCCAACUUUGAUAAAGGAAACCAUUGAGAGAACUGUCAAUGUUGCCUGCCCGUUUGGACGAGUUAAAAAGAUCAGGUGCAAGGUCAAGUGUGUUGACUGCACUAAUGCGGGCUAAGGCAUGGAUACCAGAUCUUGACUCGUCAGAUAUCGGCAGCGGCUUUCCUAGCAUAAAAGAGGACGGCUCAGAGUUUAACAAUGAUGAUCUUCGAAGGCUGACAAAGGAAAUGCGCCCCAUAGCGAGCAAAUUGGCCGCAGAAACAUAUCUCUCUCACUAUCAGCUGGUUUAUGACUCCGAUCAUAAAAGACUUCCUGCGCCAACACAUGAUGUAGAAGAUCUUAUUCCGCCAAUCCGUAAGCACACCUAUGCCCCUGAUGUUGACCCCUCAAACCUUAUAAGUGAUGAAGCUGUGUUCCAAACCUUAACUGGAAUCGAUUGGGCAACCAUUGACUUCCAGCCACUGGGUAGAGAGGAGGAAGAUGCACCAGCGCAGGACGAUCCACAACCUUCAACUCAGCCUGGUGAUGAGUCAUGAUUCGGAGGCCGGUUUAGCCUUCUGCGUACUGCCACACUUGCCGAAAACAAUUAUUCUUUUGGGCAUUAAAGCGCCUUGUAAUAGGCUAGUUUAAAACACUUGGUCUGUUAUGCCAUCGUGCAUACUUAUUUUGCCUGAUACUGUGAAUCCCCCAUGCUUUAGGAUAUAUUAUGUUUCAUAACCCGUAGCGGUGUUAUUCAAAUUGUUCCUGCAUACAAGAAGUUUGAAAGUGUCCUGGCGGUUUACCACUCGACGGGUCAUGAUGCCCAAAUAUAUAGCCGGGGUUUAUAACCAAGGCUGUACUUUGAAAAUAAUCAAAGACGAAAGAGACCUAGUAGUAAUAUCUCCAACAUAUCCCAUCUCACAUUCAUGGUCUCAAGCCAUUUUGCGGAAUCUGGGAUCAUCAUCGCUUCCUCAUAGUUCGUAGGUUCGUCAUGGUCAAGUAACAUGACCUCCAGAACAGGAUUAUCAUACCACUCUGGUGCGGAUCUUACUCUGGUUGACCUACGAGGUUCGGUAGUAACUUGGUCAGAAGUUUCAUGAUCAUCAUCAUUAGCUUCCUCACUAAUUAGUGUAGGAAUCACUGGAACUGAUUUCUAUGAUGAACUACUUUCCAAUAAGGGAGCAAGUACAGUUACCUCAUCAAUUUCUACUUUCCUCCCACUCACUUCUUUCGAGAGAAACUCCUUCUCUAGAAAGGAUCCAUUCUUAGCAAUGCAUAUCUUGCCUUCAGAUCUGUGAUAGAAGGUGUACCCAACAGUCUCCUUUGGGUAUCAUAUGAAGACACGUUUCUCCAAUUUGGGUUCGAGCUUAUCAGGUUGAAGCUUUUUCACAUAAGCAUCGUAGCCCCAAACUUGAAGAAACGACAACUUGGGUUUCUUGCCAAACCACAGUUCAUAUGGUGUCGUCUCAACGGAUUUCGAUGGUGCCCUAUUUAAUGUGAAUGCAGCCAUCUCUAAAGCAUAACCCCAAAACGAUAGCGAUAAAUCAGUAAGAGACAUCAUAGAUCGCACUAUAUCUAAUAAAGUGCGGUUACGAUGUUCGGACACACCAUUACGCUGUGGUGUUCCAGGUGGCGUGAGUUGCGAAACUAUUCUGCAUUGUUUCAAGUGAAGACCAAACUCAUAACUCAAAUGUUCACCUCCAUGAUUAGAUUGUAGAAACUUAAUUUUCUUGUUACAAUGAUUUUCCACUUCACUUUGAAAUUCUUUGAACUUUUCAAAUGUUUCAGACUUAUGUUUCAUCAAGUAUACAUACCCAUAUCUGCUCAAAUCAUAUGUGAAGGUCAAAAAAUAACAAUACUCGCCACGAGCAUCAACACUCAUCGGACCGAAUACAUCAGUAUGUAUUAUCUCCAAUAAGUUUGUUGCUCGUUCCAUUGUUCCGGAGAACGGAGUCUUAGUCAUCUUGCCCAUGAGGCAUGGUUCGCAAGCAUCAAGUGAUUCAUAAUCAAGUGAUUCCAAAAGCCCAUCGACAUGGAGUUUCUUCAUGCGCUUUACACCAAUAUGACCUAAACGGCAGUGCCACAAGUAAGUUGCACUAUCAUUAUUAAACUUAUAUCUUUUGGCUUCAAUACUAUGAAUAUGUGUAUCACUACUAUCAAGAUUUAGUAAAAAAAGACCACUCAUUAAGGGUGCAUGACCAUAAAAGAUACUACUCAUAUAAAUAGAACAACCAUUAUUCUCUGAUUUAAAUGAAUAACCGUCUCGCAUCAAACAAGAUCCCGAUAUAAUGUUCAUGCUUAACGCUGGCACCAAACAACAAUUAUUCAGGUCUAAAACUAAUCCCAAAGUUAGAUGUAGAGAUAGAGUGCCAAUGGCGAUCACAUCGACUUUGGAACUAUUUCCCACGUGCAUCGUCACCUCGUCCUUAGCCGAUCUUCGCUUAAUCCGUAGCCUCUUUUUUGAGUUGCAAAUAUUAGCAACAGAACCAGUAUCAAAUAUCCAGGCGCUACUGCGAGCAUUAGUAAGGUACACAUCAAUAACAUGUAUAUCAAAUAUACCUUUCACUUUGCCAUCCUUCCUAUCCGCCAAAUACUUGGGGCAGUUCCACUUCCAGUGACCGAUCCCUUUGCAGUAGAAGCACUCAGUCUCAGGCUUAGGUCUAGACUUGGGCUUCUUCACUUGAGCAACAACUUGCUUGCUGUUCUUCUUGAAGUUCCCCUUCUUCCUUUGCCCUUCUUAUUGAAACUGGUGGUCUUGUUGACCAUCAACACUUGAUGGUCCUUCUUGAUUUCUACCUCCGUAGCCUUUAGCAUCGCGAAGAGCUCGGGAAUUGUCUUAUCCAUCCCUUCCAUAUUAUAGUUCAUCAUGAAGCUUUUGUAGCUUGGUGGCAGUGAUUGAAAAACUCUAUCAAUGACACUAUCAACCGGAAGAUUAAGUCCCAGCUGAGUCAAGUGAUUGUGGUACCCAGACAUUCUGAGUAUGUGCUCACUAACAGAACUAUUCUCCUCCAUUUUGCAGUUGUAGAACUUAUUGGAGACUUCAUAUCUCUCAAUCCGGGCAUUAGCUUGAAAUAUUAACUUCAACUCUUGGAACAUCUCAUAUGCUCCAUGACGUUCAAAACAUCGUUGAAGUCCCGGUUCUAAGCCAUAAAGCAUGGCACACUGAACUAUCAAGUAGUCAUCAGCUUUGCUCUGCCAGGUGUUCAUAACAUCUCGAGUUGCUCCUGCAGCGGGUUUGGCACCUAGCGGUGCUUCCAGGACAUAAUUCUUCUAUGCAGCAAUGAGGAUAAUCCUCAAGUUACGGACCCAGUCCAUGUAGUUGCUACCAUCAUCUUUCAACUUAGCUUUCUCUAGGAAUGCAUUAAAAUUCAACAGAACAACAGCACGGGCCAUUUAUCUACAACAACAUAGACAUGCAAAAUACUAUCAGGUACUAAGUUCAUGAUAAAUUAAAGUUCAAUUAAUCAUAUUACUUAAGAACUCCCACUUAGAUAGACAUCCCUCUAAUCAUCUAAGUGAUCACGCGAUCCAUAUCAACUAAACCAUGUCCGAUCAUCACGUGAGAUGGAGUAGUUUUCAAUGGUGAACAUCACUAUGUUGAUCAUAUCUACUAUAUGAUUCACGCUCAACCUUUCGGUCUCAGUGUUCCGAGGCCAUAUCUGCAUAUGCUAGGCUCGUCAAGUUUAACCCGAGUAUUCUGCUUGUGCAAAACUGGCUUGCACAUGUUGUAUGUGAACGUAGAGCUUAUCACACCCGAUCAUCACGUGGUGUCUCGGCACGACGAACUGUAGCAACGGUGCAUACUUAGGGAGAGCACUUGUACCUUGAAAUUUAGUGAGAGAUCAUCUUAUAAUGCUACCGUCAUACUAAGCAAAAUAAGAUGCAUAAAGGAUAAAGAUCACAUGCAAUCAAUAUAAGUGAUAUGAUAUGGCCAUCAUCAUCUUGUGCCUUUGAUCUCAAUCUCCAAAGCACUGUCAUGAUCACCAUCGUCACCGGCUUGACACCUUGAUCUCCAUGGUAGCAUUGUUGUCGUCUCGCAACUAUUGCUUCUACGACUAUCGCUACCGCUUAGUCAUAAAGUAAAGCAAUUACAUAGCGAUUGCAUUUCAUACAAUAAAGCGACAACCAUAUGGCUCCUGCCAGUUGCUGAUAACUGUGUCACAAAACAUGAUCAUCUCAUACAAUAAUUUAUAUAAUCACGUCUUGACCAUAUCACAUCACAAGAUGCCCUGCAAAAACAAGUUAGAUGUCCUCUACUUUGUUGUUGCAAGUUUUACAUGGCUGCUACGGGCUUAGUAAGAACCGUUCUUACCUACACAUCAAAAACCACAACGCGGUAUAGUGAUUGCUUUUUGAUCUUCAGAAAGAACCCUGUUCAUUGAAUCCGAAUCAACUAAAGUUGGAGAAACUGACACCCGCCAGUCACCUGUGUGCAAAGCACGUUGGUAGAACCAGUCUCAUGAACGUGGUCAUGUAAUGUCGGUCCGGGCCGCUUCAUCCAACAAUACCGCCGAAUCAAGAAACAACUAGUGAUGGCAAGCAAUAUGUAUAUACCCACGCCCACAACUCCUUUGUGUUCUACUCGUGCAUAUAACAUCUACGCAUAGACUUGACUCGGAUGCCACUGUUGUGGAACGCAGUAUUUCAAAAAAAUUCCUACGAUCACGCAAGAUCUAUCUAGGGAUGCAUAGAAACGAGAGGGAGAGUGUGUCUAUGUACGCUUGUAGACCAAAAGCGGAAGCGUUAAGUAACGCGGUUGAUGUAGUCGAACGUCUUUGCGAUCCAACCGAUCAAGUACCGAACGCACAACACCUCCGCGAUCUGCACAUGUUCAGCUCGAUGAUGUCCCUCGAACUCUAGAUCCAGCUGAGGCCGAGGGAGAGUUUCGUCAGCACGACGGCGUGUUGACGGUGAUGCUGAAGUUACCAACGCAGGGCUUCGCCUAAGCACUAUGGCAAUAUGACCGAGAUGGAAAUCUGUGAAGGGGGGCACCGCACACGGCUAAGAGAUUAACUUAUGUGUCUAUGGGGUGCCCCCCUCCCCCGUAUAUAAAGGAGUGGAGGAGGGGAGGGCCGGCCUCCUAUGGCGCGCCCCAAGGGGGGAUUCCUACUCCUAGGAGUAGGUUUCCCCCUUUCCCUAGUUGGAGUAGGGGGGGAAGGAAGAUGAAGAGGGAGAGAAGGAAAGGGGGGCGGCCCCCCUCCCAAUUUGGAUUGGGCUUGGGGGGCGCACGCCUCCCACUUGGACGCCUCCUCCUCUCUCCCACCAUGGCCCAUUAAGGCCCAUUAACUCCCCGGGGGGUUCCGGUAACCUCCCGGUAUUCCGGAAAAUGCCCGAACCUAUCCGAAACAUUUCCAGUGUCCAAACAUAGCCUUCCAAUAUAUCAAUCUUCAUGUCUCGACCAUUUCGAGACUCCUCGUUAUGUCCGUGAUCACAUCCGGGACUCCGAACUAUCUUCAAUACAUCAAAUCUCAUAACUCAUAAUACAUAUCAUCGUCGAACGUUAAGCAUGCGGACCCUACGGGUACGAGAACUAUGUAGACAUGACCGAGACUCAUCUCUGGUCAAUAACCAAUAACGGAACAUGGAUGCUCAUAGUGGUUCCUACAUAUUCUACGAAGAUCUUUAUCGGUCAAACCGCAUAACAACAUACAUUUGUUCCCUUUGUCAUCGGUAUGUUACUUGCCCGAGAUUCGAUCGUCGAUAUCAUCAUACCUAGUUCAAUCUCGUUACCGGCAAGUCUCUUUACUCGUUCCGUAAUGCAACAUCCCGAAACUAACUCAUUAGUCACAUUGCUUGCAAGGCUUAUAGUGAUGUGCAUUACCGAGAGGGCCCAAAGAUACCUCUCCGACAAUCGGAGUGAUAAAUCCUAAUCUCGAUCUAUGCCAACUCAACAAAUACCAUCGGAGACACCUGUAGAGCAUCUUUAUAAUCACCCAGUUAUGUUGUGAUGUUUGAUAGCACACUAAGUGUUCCUCCGGUAUUCGUGAGUUGCAUAAUCUCAUAGUCAUAGAAACAUGUAUAUAUUAUGGAGAAAGCAAUAGCAAUAAACUAAACGAUCAUAGUGUUAAGCUAACGGAUGGGUCAAGUCAAUCACAUCAUUCUCUAAUGAUGUGAUCCCGUUCAUCAAAUGACAACUCAUGUCUAUGGCUAGGAAACUUAACCAUCUUUGAUUAACGAGGUAGUCAAGUAGAGGCAUACUAGCGACACUCUGUUUGUCUAUGUAUUCACACAUGUACUAAGUUCCCGGAUAAUACAAUUCUAGUAUGAAUAAUAAAGAUUUAUCAUGAUAUAGGGAAAUAUAAAUAACAAUUUUAUUAUUGCCUGGCAUAUUUCCUUCAAAUAAAUAAUGUAGAUGCAAAUAUUUUUACUCAGGGGAUAGGUCGUGAUGUAAAAUAAGCCGUGAUGCAAAUUUGCAUCACUUGAGGCUCUCAAGCAAAUUUUACAUCACCAACAGACCACAUGGGGGCUACGUGACUGGAGCAAAAUUUGCAUCACCAAGUACUAUUUUUAUAUUAUUAUCAAGCGCUCCAACAAAUAAUGUGAAAUAGGGCACCCACAAGACAACGUGAUGUGUUUUGCAACACCUUUGAUAAGCAAAACUUAUAUGGUCCGUGUGUGGAUAUGCGGUUGCUGUGCUUGGUGAGGUCUAGAGCACUAUCUGGAUGGUUUAGUUAGUGUUUCAUCGUUCAUGCUUUUGUCCGCACAAGAUAUAUGUGAUGUUGUAGCUAGCCCCUCUAAGAGUCUAGGCAGCGAGUUUGUGCUAAAAAAAGAAAACAACGUUCGCCUAGCUCAAAAUAGAACAACCUACAACCAGCAACAAACAAUCCACAACAAAAAUAGGGCCACAAAAAGAAAUGAUGUCAUCCAUAACAUGACUUAAUUAUGUCACAUCUAAUGUACCCUACACAGACCUAAAAAGAAAGGAUUUUGAUUUGACCGAUUUGAUUUAAAAGCAAUGUGUUUUUUAAAUCUUGAAAUAGAUUUGGAUAGUAUUGACUUCAUUGGAUAUUUAUUGAUUUUGUAGUACAAAUGAGUUAGUGUAGAGGGGUGUGCGCUUGCGUGCGCGACGGAAAGAAAAAAAAAA
rnacentral:lncRNA from 1 species